ensembl:lncRNA
GCUUAAAAUAAAUACAAUAAACAUUUAAAUACAGCAUUAAGUGAUUAAUAACUUCAGCUAUGCAUUUAAUUUAUAUACUUAGAUUUUAUUCUAUUCCUUUUUGGCAGCAUUGCAUUGCAUUUUCAAGGAUAUAAUUUUCUUUAGGAAAGUAACAGGAGAUGUCCAGCUCGAAAAGCACCUUCAUCUGUUAUAGCAACAUUGGAGGAUUGUAGAGAAGCAGCAAACUGGACAAAUGGUGUCAGUACAACAAAUACAAAGUCUAUCCCAUCAGCCCCUGUUGAAUGGUAGACCAGCAUGUUUUUGGGAAGUCGUGGCCUAAUGGUUAGAGGGUUGGACUCCCAAUCGAAGGGUUGUGGGUUCUAGUCUCGGGCUGGGCGGAAUUGUGGGUGGGGGGGAGUGCAUGUACAGUUCUCUCUCCACCUUCAAUACCACGACUUAGGUGCCCUUGAGCAAGGCAUCAAACCCCCAACUGCUCCCCGGGCGCCGCAGCAAAAAUGGCUGCCCACUGCUCCGGGUGUGUGCUCACAGUGUGUGUGUGUGUGUGUGUGUUCACUGCUCUGUGUGUGUGCAUUUCGGAUGGGUUAAAUGCAGAGCACAAAUUCUGAGUGUGGGUCACCAUACUUGGCUGAAUGUCACUUCACUUUUUCACUUUCACUUCUAAUUUCCAUACAGGAUUCAUAGACUGUAGAGGACAUGAGAGGACGUCAGACAUCAAACAUUGCCUACAGAAUUCGGCACCCGGCCCAAAGCUGGAUGGACUCCAUGUGUUGGAAAUGGUUUUGGGUAGUGUACCUAAAAUCUUCAACAGAUUACAUUUUGUAUCCUAGCCAGUUCAGCUGCAGAAUAUGCUAGCAGCUGUUGUAUUGCUUUAAAAUAAAUGAAGUGCUGUUCUUUCCUCAUUCAAUUUUGUGCAUCUGUCCAUUUCUAAUAUUUAUUUUUUUAAUCCUAUCAUUUUGAAAUCAAUUUUACUAAAACAUGCUUUAAAACAAUCUUUUAUUUAAAAUUAUAUUGUUUUUAAAUGCCUCCAAUGCUUUUUCAAAUGUUACAGAUGACAGAGAAUGAGGUUUUAAAAGAAUUAUUCCCUGCAAAAGUACUGUUAAAACAUCUGACUCUGAUCAUGACACUAACUCAUUCACUUUGAAAUGUUUUUUCCAUCCUCACGGCUAAAUUGCAUCACUCCACACCAACAUAUCGCUCUGGAACUUACAAUUUGAUUCCAUACUGCAUACUGCAUAUACUGCAGCUAAAAUUGCUAAUAUUUUUUCGUCUUACAAAUAAAACUCAUAAAUGGUCAUGUCUGAAGGUCCAGUGUAGUGUCCUUACUACUGACAAAUGUAUAUCAUUGAUUGUGUUCUGUGUGUGUGUGUGUGUGUGUGUGUGUGUGUGUGUGUGUGUAUCACAGUACUCAAACUAUCCUCAGGGUGCCUCUGUUGUGUCAUGAAUACAAUUUCAGUCAGCAAAUGAAAGUAAAAGCGCAUUGAAAAUAAUUGUAAUCAGAAUUGAUUUGUUUGACAAUGACAGUUACUCCACCCCAGGAUACUCGACCCCAAAAUUACAAUUUUGUCAUUAAUCACUAACCCCCAUGUUGUUCCAAACCCUUAAAAGCUUUGUUCAUCUUCGUAACACAAUUUAAGAUAUUUUGAAUGAAAACCAGUAGGCUUGUGACUGUCCCAUAGACUGCCAAGUAAAUUACACUGUCAAGGUCCAGAAAAGUAUGGAAGACAUCGUCAGAAUAGUACGCUCUUCUGUGUCAGCUGUGCUGCAGGGAUGUGCUGUCUUCAUUCAAAUAAAAGCGUAAAUACAUGUAGAAAACGUAUCUUUGUGGCUGACACUGAAGAGCGUAUGCUGCUUGCGUUCAGCAUAUUUUCUCCAAAAUAGUACUACGGUGAUGCAGAGAGGAAUUGUUGAAUCAAGUCCUUAUUUUUGUUUUCUUUGCGUACAAAAACUAUUCUCGUCACUUCAUAACAUUACGGUUGAACCACCCCAGACUCCAACAUAGUGUUGGCCCAGAUCUGGUGCACAUCUGGCCCAUGUGAAAUCCAUGCGGGCCACAUGUGUGCUGGAUCUGGG